GACGAACGCUGGCGGCGUGCUUAACACAUGCAAGUCGAACGGAAAGGCCCUGCUUUUGUUGGGUGCUCGAGUGGCGAACGGGUGAGUAACACGUGAGUAACCUGCCCUUUACUUUGGGAUAACUUCAGGAAACUUGUGCUAAUACCGUAUAGGAUCUCCUGCUGCAUGGUGGGGGUUGGAAAGUUUCGGCGGUUGGGGAUGGACUCGCGGCUUAUCAGCUUGUUUGUGGGGUAGUGGCUUACCAAGGCUUUGACGGGUAGCCGGACUGAGAGGGUGACCGGCGACAUUGGGACUGAGAUACGGCACAGACUCCUACGGGAGGCAGCAGUGGGGAAUAUUGCACAAUGGGCGGAAGCCUGAUGCAGCAACGCCGCGUGCGGGAUGACGGCCUUCGGGUUGUAAACCGAUUUCGCCUGUGACGAAGCGUGAGUGACGGUAAUGGGUAAAGAAGCACCGGCUAACUACGUG
rnacentral:rRNA from 1 species